rnacentral:rRNA from 1 species
UACGUAGGGAGCAAGCGUUGUUCGGAAUUAUUGGGCGUAAAGAGCGCGUAGGCGGUUCGGUAAGUCUGAUGUGAAAUCCCAGAGCUUAACUCUGGAACUGCAUUGGAUACUGCCGAGCUUGAGUGUGGGAGAGGAGAGUGGAAUUCCCAGUGUAGAGGUGAAAUUCGUAGAUAUUGGGAGGAACACCCGUGGCGAAGGCGGCUCUCUGGACCACAACUGACGCUGAGGCGCGAAAGCUAGGGUAGCAAACGGGAUUAGAUACCCCGGUAGUCCUAGCCGUAAACGAUGGGCACUAGGUGUUGGAGGUAUCGACCCCUCCAGUGCCGCAGCUAACGCAUUAAGUGCCCCGCCUGGGGAGUACGGUCGCAAGACUAAAACUCAAAGGAAUUGACGGGGGCCCGCACAAGCGGUGGAGCAUGUGGUUUAAUUCGACGCAACGCGAAGAACCUUACCUGGGCUUGACAUCCCUUGAAGGUGCUGGAAACAGUACCGUCCUUUCGGGGACAAGGUGACAGGUGCUGCAUGGCUGUCGUCAGCUCGUGUCGUGAGAUGUUGGGUUAAGUCCCGCAACGAGCGCAACCCUUACCCUUAGUUGCCAGCGAGUAAUGUCGGGAACUCUAAGGGAACUGCCGGUGAUAAACCGGAGGAAGGUGAGGAUGACGUCAAGUCCUCAUGGCCUUUAUGCCCAGGGCUACACACGUGCUACAAUGGCCGGUACAAAGAGUUGCAAGCCCGCGAGGGGGAGCCAAUCUCAAAAAGCCGGUCUCAGUUCAGAUUGUAGGCUGCAACUCGCCUACAUGAAGGCGGAAUCGCUAGUAAUCCCGGAUCAGCAUGCCGGGGUGAAUACGUUCCCGGGCCUUGUACACACCGCCCGUCACACCACGAAAGUCAGUUGUACCAGAAGUCACUGCGCCAACCCGCAAGGGGGGCAGGUGCCGAAGGUAUGAUUGGUGAUUGGGGUG